rnacentral:rRNA from 1 species
UACGGGGGGGGGUAAGCGUUGUUCGGAAUUACUGGGCGUAAAGGGCUCGUAGGCGGCCAACUAAGUCAUACGUGAAAUCCCUCAGCUUAACUGGGGAACUGCGUGUGAUACUGGAUGGCUUGGAUUUGGGAGAGGGAUGCGGAAUUCCAGGUGUAGCGGUGAAAUGCGUAGAUAUCUGGAGGAACACCGGUGGCGAAGGCGGCAUCCUGGACCAAUAUUGACGCUGAGGAGCGAAAGCUAGGGGAGCGAACGGG